GGAGAACAAAGUGGCAAAAUUAGUAAUUUUCCUCAACAAAGAGGGUAGUUUACCACUUUGGCAGGACCAAACAUGGAUCAUCUAUCCUUGCUCAGGAGUCAGAAAAUACAAGAAAGAGUUGCAGCUUCUGAGAGAGAGAUUUCAUGGAAGAUCUUGCUCAAGACCACGCAGUUGAUUCAUAUAACACUGCAUCGGGGUAUUGGUCUAUCUCUGUUACUCCAAGAUCCAUCAAGACCCGAUAGCCUUCUACCUCGAUGCGCUGUUAAUCUGUAAGCUGUGUGGUUUAGAGCGAGAUCUUAGAGAAGCUCAGAGAGAGAGACAGAGAGAGAAAGAGAAGAACAAGCUAAAAGUUUGUAAGCUAAUUUAUUACUUGGUUUAAUCUAACUAUUUGCAGAGCUAUCUAGAAUUAUUUCCCUAUUUAAUAAUCUUUCUCUAGUUUUUGUGGUGAAAACUUGAGAUCUUGAAUGCAAGCUAAGACGUUUAUUGGCGAUUUCAUGAGAUGGGUAUCAGAGAAGAUUGUUUUUUAAUUAAAGGUUGACUAAAAAAUGGGUAACUUUAUAUCCUCUUUCAAAGUUAUUCUUCUCAUAUGGUUGGCUGAUGAGUUUGAUCUAUUUACCUGAAAUAGUUAGAUCUAGUACAAAAGCUUCAAAUGUGACAAUACAAUCCAAAUAUCUGAAAAAUAAUGAGGGAAGAUGGUUUAUACUAAAGGGCUGGGGAGAGAAGGAGAUGGACAUCAAAGUUAUAUAUUAUAGAGGAUACCACUUAAGAAAACUAGUAUGAAAUAUAGGUAGAUGAACCCUUUGGAGUUUGAACUUGUACUGUGGUGUGUGCCUCUCUUUUUUCAAGCCUUGGGUUGUGAAGGUCUGGUGGGUGGUGUGAAUGUGUUCCAAAAAGGGUUUUUUUUAUUUAUUUAUUUAUUUAUUGAUUUUUUUUAUGCAUUUGGAUUUUCAUGUUUCUUGUUCUUCUCAUGUGGGUGACUUCUUAGUAACGGUUUAUCUAAUUUUGCAUGUUCCAGGUAGGGUUUUUGAUUUUCUCUUUGGUUGAUUUACCUUAGAUUUGUAUGUUUGUUAAUGUGUAUUUGAAGAUUGUAUUGGCCUUGGUCAUUUAAUUAGAAUAAUAUAGAGGUGUCCAAUGCAUAGUGAAGAAGCCUGCAUAUGGUCCCACCCACAUAUUCCCAUGUGGCAGGGCUCAAAAACCCAGAAUCGAACUUAAAUCCACCUCAUAAUCUAUCUACGUAUUCCAUUUUAGGGUUUUGACAAAUCUAUGACUUUUUAUUUGUUAUGCAUGCCCGAAAUUUAUGUAUUUUUCAUUAUAUCCUUCCAAACAUCAUGCAUGUUUUAGGUAAUAUAUGGAGCUGAAUUUAUGUUUUGAAUUAUUCCCUGAUUUUUUAUUUUUUUUUGGUUAACCAAGGUAUUUAGGUCAAUUUACACAUAAUUCUCCAACAAUUUUCUAUUCCAGAUAUCCAUGCUUCACAUUCUACUUUUUCACUUUAUCUACCAUAGUCAGAUAAUCUAACAUUGUAUUUUUUUUUAUUGCUACUAUUUAUUUCAAUGUAACUUUGUGUGGGUGUAUAAGGAUUUUGGGUAUACAGGAUGUUCCUGAGAAGCACAUGACUUAAGUUCACAUUAUCGAUCCAUGUCGAUGUUGAGUUUAUUUGAUCUAGAACAGCCCAUAUUAGUUGAGAUCGGAUGAUUUUACCUACGCUUUUGAAGUCGAUUUUAUUUUUAAUGUUAUUACCCUUGGUCUAUUCCGUUACAUCAAUAUGGAAUCAACCAAGAACCAGGAUUGCUGGGUGGCAAUAUCGAUCUAAAAGCCAGCCAAUUCAAGAUGGAUACCACACAACUCAGACCAUAUUUCCACUCCAUUGGCUUUUUUGGCCACAUGAAAGUUUAGUACCUUUUUCGACAUCCUGUGUUUAAUAAUGAUUGUUGAAUCUUGCCGACAUGUCCAUUGUCAAAAUGAAACUAGAAGUCUGUAAGAUAAGUUCCUGAGACUCAAAAGAAGAAUUAUCUUAGUGGGACUAAUUAAGAGAAUAAUCAAGAUAUUAUGCUUGUACGUAGGCAUGCAUGAGGUUUUUGUGAGCCAAGGUAGGCUCAUCCAGCCUAGGCUCUUCGCAAGAGAGUGACAUGAGGAAAGAAUAAGGGUCCGUUUGAUUUUGUUAUUUGAAACGUGUUUUUCCGUUUUUCUGUGUUCAGAAAUAGAAAAACACCCUCUUUUCCAUUUGAUUUUUCUAUUCUAUUUCACCUAUUUAUUGAAACAAAAAUUAAAAUUUAUACCUGUUUUUGUUUUCAGAAAUAAAAAUGAAGAAAUACCUCUGACUUGCUUUUCUGUUUCUUGAAACAGAGUGAAGGAGAAAAAUCGUGAAAAUGCCGAAGCCCUACCCAAGCCCAACUCUCCUAUCUCCUUGCAACUCUCCACAAAGCUCCAAUGUCUCUGCUCUCUCUCUCUCUCUCUCUCUCUCUCUCUCUCUCUCUCUCUCUCUCUCUCUCUCGUGUCAAGCAAUGGUCUCGUUGCAACUCUCCUCGCGGCAACUCCAAAGGAAAAGGUUUCUGCAACUUGAACUGCUCAAGCUCAAGUCUGCAAAGCAUAGGUCUCUCUCUCUCUCUCUCUCUCUCUCUCUCUCUCUCUCUCUUGUCAAGCUCAGGUAAAAUUUCAACCACUAAUUGACAGAUCUGAUUUCAUCUCUGUAACGUGGGGAUUAGGGGAUUUUCUUGUUGAUAUGUGAUGGGUAAUAGUUCCUAGCCCUAAUUUCUGUUCCUGCUAAGCUUUGUGGAUUUGUGUUAUUUCAUCUCAAUUGAAUACUGAAGGUUGCAUUAGUUUA